rnacentral:rRNA from 1 species
AUUGAACGCUGGCGGCAGGCCUAACACAUGCAAGUCGAGCGGAUGAAGGGAGCUUGCUCCUGGAUUCAGCGGCGGACGGGUGAGUAAUGCCUAGGAAUCUGCCUGGUAGUGGGGGAUAACGUCCGGAAACGGGCGCUAAUACCGCAUACGUCCUGAGGGAGAAAGUGGGGGAUCUUCGGACCUCACGCUAUCAGAUGAGCCUAGGUCGGAUUGGCUAGUUGGUGGGGUAAAGGCCUACCAAGGCGACGAUCCGUAACUGGUCUGAGAGGAUGAUCAGACACACUGGAACUGAGACACGGUCCAGACUCCUACGGGAGGCAGCAGUGGGGAAUAUUGGACAAUGGGCGAAAGCCUGAUCCAGCCAUGCCGCGUGUGUGAAGAAGGACUUCGGAUUGUAAAACACUUUAAGUUGGCAGGAAGGGCAGUAAGUUAAUACCUUGCUGUUUUGACGGUACCCACAGAAUAAGCACCGGCUAACUUCGUG